GGAGGUGGCGGGUGCUACCAUGCAGUCGACGGUGAACCCCAGCUUGCUGGGGGGAUCAGUGGCGAACGGGUGAGUAACACGUGAGUAACCUGCCCCUGACUCUGGGAUAAGCCUUGGAAACGAGGUCUAAUACCGGAUACGUGCCGCUCGGGCAUCCGAUGCGGUUGGAAAGAUUUAUCGGUCAGGGAUGGACUCGCGGCCUAUCAGCUUGUUGGUGGGGUAACGGCCCACCAAGGCGACGACGGGUAGCCGGCCUGAGAGGGCGACCGGCCACACUGGGACUGAGACACGGCCCAGACUCCUACGGGAGGCAGCAGUGGGGAAUAUUGCACAAUGGGCGCAAGCCUGAUGCAGCGACGCCGCGUGAGGGAUGAAGGCCUUCGGGUUGUAAACCUCUUUCAGCAGGGAAGAAGCGCAAGUGACGGUACCUGCAGAAGAAGCGCCGGCUAACUACGUGCCAGCAGCCGCGGUAAUACGUAGGGCGCAAGCGUUGUCCGGAAUUAUUGGGCGUAAAGAGCUCGUAGGCGGUUUGUCGCGUCUGCUGUGAAAACUCGAGGCUCAACCUCGGGCUUGCAGUGGGUACGGGCAGACUAGAGUGCGGUAGGGGAGACUGGAAUUCCUGGUGUAGCGGUGGAAUGCGCAGAUAUCAGGAGGAACACCGAUGGCGAAGGCAGGUCUCUGGGCCGCAACUGACGCUGAGGAGCGAAAGCAUGGGGAGCGAACAGGAUUAGAUACCCUGGUAGUCCAUGCCGUAAACGUUGGGCACUAGGUGUGGGGCUCAUUCCACGAGUUCCGUGCCGCAGCAAACGCAUUAAGUGCCCCGCCUGGGGAGUACGGCCGCAAGGCUAAAACUCAAAGAAAUUGACGGGGGCCCGCACAAGCGGCGGAGCAUGCGGAUUAAUUCGAUGCAACGCGAAGAACCUUACCAAGGCUUGACAUACACCGGAAACUUCCAGAGAUGGUUGCCCCGCAAGGUCGGUGUACAGGUGGUGCAUGGUUGUCGUCAGCUCGUGUCGUGAGAUGUUGGGUUAAGUCCUCGCAACGAGCGCAACCCUCGUCCUAUGUUGCCAGCACGUGAUGGUGGGGACUCAUAGAGACUGCCGGGGUCACUCGAGAGUGGGGAUGACGUCAAAUCAUCAUGCCCCUUAUUGUCUUGGGCUUCACCGCAUGCUAACAAUG
rnacentral:rRNA from 1 species